CCUACGGGUGGCAGCAGUGAGGAAUAUUGGUCAAUGGGCGCGAGCCUGAACCAGCCAAGUCGCGUGAGGGAGGACGGCCCUACGGGUUGUAAACCUCUUUUGCCGGGGAGCAACGGGCGUCACGUGUGGCGCCACUGAGAGUACCCGGAGAAAAAGCAUCGGCUAACUCCGUGCCAGCAGCCGCGGUAAUACGGAGGAUGCGAGCGUUAUCCGGAUUUAUUGGGUUUAAAGGGUGCGUAGGCGGUCGGAUAAGUUAGAGGUGAAAUCCCGAGGCUCAACUUCGGAAUUGCCUCUGAUACUGUUCGGCUAGAGAGUAGUUGCGGUAGGCGGAAUGUAUGGUGUAGCGGUGAAAUGCUUAGAGAUCAUACAGAACACCGAUUGCGAAGGCAGCUUACCAAGCUACUUCUGACGUUGAGGCACGAAAGCGUGGGGAGCAAACAGGAUUAGAUACCCGGGUAGUC
rnacentral:rRNA from 1 species